UCGUUGCCAUAGCAAAACAUCAUUGAAGGUGGUGAUGUCACACCGAGUUGCCAUGGAGAUGAGGGGUGCUCUCACAGACAAUGGACUCUAUUCCCACUGUGUUAGUUUUCAAGGAGGCUGAUAGAUUCUCUCUGAGGUGCAGACAUUCCCCACAGCUAACUAGGGCUGGAAGGCAGGGGUGCAUUUCAGCUUUAGCCACAGUCUGCCCUGCCUGGUUGGUUUUCUGUGGGCCAUUUUUGGCUCUACUCCAUUUUUCUCAGCCUAUCUCCUUAGCUGUCCCAGUGGGGUCAGAUACAUUUCCUUGGCUUCUGUGGAGACAUCACAACUCCAGAUCAUUCUGCUCAUGCAAAUCAAGGUCAGAGAUGGGAGACAGGAGUAGCUCCCUGGCAUCCUGUGCUGGCUGGACAUCCCAUCAGGACCUGCUGCUCAUGAGUGCCCAGCUCCUGUGCCUCCGUUUCUCUGCUGGAAUCAGAAGAAGCUCCUCCCUGAGAGCAGUGACGACUUCUGACCUGCACACUGGACGGCUGGAGGAUGACACCAAGCCACCGCCAACAUCCCGACCAGUUUCACACGGCCUUUCAUGCUCUGCCUCUGGGGCCAGGAUGGCUGCAGAAAGCGCCUUUGCAGCAGGGGCCUGUGGCUCUCUGGAGCCCUUGCUGCCUGCUGGGCUUCCGCUGGCCCCCUCCAACCUGCUUGGCCAGGCCUGAGAGCACCAGUCCAGUGCCCAGCUCCCUUUCUUGGCUCUUGGGCUCCUUGUGAGUGAUGUCUGCAUCUGGCUGGAAAUUAAAACAACUGUCUGCAUUGCAUUCGGCCCGUCUGUCAAAACACAGCCCGGCUCUCAGCAGCUGGGGCCGGGGGCCCUGAAUGGGUGCAGUGUCUCCAGCAACA